GGCUGACCCUAGUGUUGCUCAUGCAGCCCUGCAUGCCAUGGCAUGCCAUAUGUCUGCUGUUUCUACAGAUCUGGCUUAAAAAAAUCUAAGCAAAGAUGGUACUUCAUGGACCCAAGAUAUUACCUUAUUCUGCAAACAAGGACUUUAAGCACAAAGAAGGAAAUCAUAGUAGAAGUUUCAACUGUCAACUUCUGCUUAGGAUAUCCUUAAUAAAACCUUCAUGUCGAGAUUUGUGAAACAACUGACGAAAUCACUGGCCUGAAGUUGCAAACAAAGUAUUAAUCAAGGCAGCCCCACUGUGGCUUAAUAAUAUCAAUGACAGACACUUCUUGGCAAUCAAGGAUCCUCUGAUGAUCAUCUAAUCAAACAGCACUGAUUCUAUCACACUAUGGCUUUGGUUGAGCUUAACAGAGAAGAGGAUUCAUCCAUAACCAAACAGGUUCAACAGAACCUUGAAAAUCAAAGGAAAGUGCAAAAGAAAGUGGUUCUAACUUUGAAUUGUGGCAUCAAGGAACAGUAAAUAAAAUAAAUUGAAUAACAACUUCUGCAGAGCUGAGAAGUCUCAAAGUUUCCUUCAUCUAAGAAUAUGUUAAAAUGACAUUGAUGGGGUCCAGCAUAUUGGAGCCUGAAAUCUGACUUCUUCACGUGAAGGUGUGGGUAUUAAUUUGGUUAAUUUCUAAUGAUCAUCCAUAAUAACUUACAAAAGAGUUUG
rnacentral:lncRNA from 1 species